rnacentral:rRNA from 1 species
UCAGUUGUAUCGCCAGGUGCAUAGCUGAGUAUCCACGUACGGGAAGAAUAAGUGCUGAAAGCAUCUAAGCACGAAGUCGACCUCAAGAUUAGAUAUCCAUAAUUUAGGGACGUUACAGACGAUGACGUAGAUAGGCCACAGGUGCAAGUGCAGUAAUGUAUUCAGCCGAGUGGUACUAAUCUCCCGAACGCUUAUAUUU